rnacentral:misc_RNA from 1 species
GAACAUUUGUGCCUCGACAAGAGAAGACCGUUCAGUAUUUCGUUGAAAAAUCCAUCACCGCCAACUGCUACCACGCCAUCGUAUGAACUGAGCUCUCUACUUGUAAUGGAAGACAUCAUGUCAAUAGCUUGUCCUGCCCUUUCUGUCACAGUAACCUUCAUUUUCACUUUCGCUUGAGAAAAUGUCGGAGCCACUGUUUCCCAAACUUUACAUCCGAGUCCUUUCCCACUCUUUGGGUUAACAAAAACCAGAAGGUUCUUUGGCCGCUCAGCGUCCCUGUUUAGAAGAUCAUUAAUCUGAUUAACCCACAUCUGACAUGUUUGUGAAUCCUUAUGUCCAAAAGUAUAAAAAGAUGGAACCAAAACAGAAGGUUGUGUCUUUGAUUUCUGGACUCCGC